UGGGGAAUAUUGCACAAUGGGGGAAAACCCUGAUGCAGCGACGCCGCGUGAGCGAUGAAGUAUUUCGGUAUGUAAAGCUCUAUCAGCAGGGAAGAAAAUGACGGUACCUGACUAAGAAGCACCGGCUAAAUACGUGCC
rnacentral:rRNA from 1 species